rnacentral:sRNA from 22 species
GUCAUGAACCCCCGGAUGAAUCCGGGGAGCUUGCAGCCGGAACUCAGGGGUUCUGGAGUGCAAGCCCCGAUCAUGUCCAGCCCCAGCGUCCAAUGGCGCAGGUAGCCAGGUGCGGACGCUCCGUUCGAUAGGUCAUGGCACCCAGGGACGCCUCCUCAAUCCCUGGCUCUGCC